GUAUUGGGGUCGAUUUAGCCAUGCUAGUUGCACGAGUUCACACUCGUGGCGAAAAGCUCAGUAACACGUGGCCAAACUACCCUACAGAGAACGAUAACCUCGGGAAACUGAGGCUAAUAGUUCAUACGGGAGUCAUGCUUGAAUGCCGACUCCCCGAAACGCUCCGGCGCUGUAGGAUGUGGCUGCGGCCGAUUAGGUAGACGGUGGGGUAACGGCCCACCGUGCCAAUAAUCGGUACGGGUUGUGAGAGCAAGAACCCGGAGACGGAAUCUGAGACAAGAUUCCGGGCCCUACGGGGCGCAGCAGGCGCGAAACCUUUACACUGCACGCAAGUGCGAUAAGGGGACCCCAAGUGCGAGGCAUAUAGUCCUCGCUUUUCACGACUGUAAGGCGGUCGUGGAAUAAGAGCUGGGCAAGACCGGUGCCAGCCGCCGCGGUAAUACCGGCAGCUCAAGUGAUGACCGAUAUUAUUGGGCCUAAAGCGUCCGUAGCCGGCCACGAAGGUUCAUCGGGAAAUCCGCCAGCUCAACUGGCGGGCGUCCGGUGAAAACCACGUGGCUUGGGACCGGAAGGCUCGAGGGGUACGUCUGGGGUAGGAG
rnacentral:rRNA from 1 species